rnacentral:rRNA from 1 species
UACGUAGGGUCCGAGCGUUGUCCGGAAUCAUUGGGCGUAAAGAGCUCGUAGGCGGCUCGGUAAGUCGGGUGUGAAACCCCCAGGCUCAACCUGGGGACGCCACCCGAUACUGCUGUGGCUAGAGUCCAGUAGGGGAGUGUGGAAUUCCCGGUGUAGCGGUGAAAUGCGCAGAUAUCGGGAGGAACACCAGCGGCGAAGGCGGCACUCUGGGCUGGAACUGACGCUGAGGAGCGAAAGCGUGGGUAGCAAACAGG